rnacentral:rRNA from 1 species
CGAGCGGUAGCACAGAGAGCUUGCUCUCGGGUGACGAGCGGCGGACGGGUGAGUAAUGUCUGGGAAACUGCCUGAUGGAGGGGGAUAACUACUGGAAACGGUAGCUAAUACCGCAUAACGUCGCAAGACCAAAGUGGGGGACCUUCGGGCCUCAUGCCAUCAGAUGUGCCCAGAUGGGAUUAGCUAGUAGGUGGGGUAACGGCUCACCUAGGCGACGAUCCCUAGCUGGUCUGAGAGGAUGACCAGCCACACUGGAACUGAGACACGGUCCAGACUCCUACGGGAGGCAGCAGUGGGGAAUAUUGCACAAUGGGCGCAAGCCUGAUGCAGCCAUGCCGCGUGUGUGAAGAAGGCCUUCGGGUUGUAAAGCACUUUCAGCGGGGAGGAAGGCGGUGAGGUUAAUAACCUCACCGAUUGACGUUACCCGCAGAAGAAGCACCGGCUAACUCCGUUGCCAGCAGCCGCCGGUAAUACGGAGGGUGCAAGCGUUAAUCGGAAUUACUGGGCGUAAAGCGCACGCAGGCGGUCUGUCAAGUCGGAUGUGAAAUCCCCGGGCUCAACCUGGGAACUGCAUUCGAAACUGGCAGGCUAGAGUCUUGUAGAGGGGGGUAGAAUUCCAGGUGUAGCGGUGAAAUGCGUAGAGAUCUGGAGGAAUACCGGUGGCGAAGGCGGCCCCCUGGACAAAGACUGACGCUCAGGUGCGAAAGCGUGGGGAGCAAACAGGAUUAGAUACCCUGGUAGUCCACGCUGUAAACGAUGUCGAUUUGGAGGUUGUGCCCUUGAGGCGUGGCUUCCGGAGCUAACGCGUUAAAUCGACCGCCUGGGGAGUACGGCCGCAAGGUUAAAACUCAAAUGAAUUGACGGGGGCCCGCACAAGCGGUGGAGCAUGUGGUUUAAUUCGAUGCAACGCGAAGAMCCUUUACCUGGUCUUGACAUCCACAGAACUUUCCAGAGAUGGAUUGGUGCCUUCGGGAACUGUGAGACAGGUGCUGCAUGGCUGUCGUCAGCUCGUGUUGUGAAAUGUUGGGUUAAGUCCCGCAACGAGCGCAACCCUUAUCCUUUGUUGCCAGCGGUCCGGCCGGGAACUCAAAGGAGACUGCCAGUGAUAAACUGGAGGAAGGUGGGGAUGACGUCAAGUCAUCAUGGCCCUUACGACCAGGGCUACACACGUGCUACAAUGGCAUAUACAAAGAGAAGCGACCUCGCGAGAGCAAGCGGACCUCAUAAAGUAUGUCGUAGUCCGGAUUGGAGUCUGCAACUCGACUCCAUGAAGUCGGAAUCGCUAGUAAUCGUAGAUCAGAAUGCUACGGUGAAUACGUUCCCGGGCCUUGUACACACCGCCCGUCACACCAUGGGAGUGGGUUGCAAAAGAAGUAGGUAGCUUAACCUUCGCG